UACGUAGGGGGCAAGCGUUGUCCGGAAUCAUUGGGCGUAACGAGCGUGUAGGCGGCCCGAUAAGUCCGCUGUGAAAGUCCAGGGCUCAACCCUGGGAUGCCGGUGGAUACUGUCGGGCUCGAGUCCGGAAGAGGAGUGUGGAAUUCCUGGUGUAGCGGUGAAAUGCGCAGAUAUCAGGAGGAACACCAAUGGCGAAGGCAGCACUCUGGGACGUGACUGACGCUGAGACGCGAAAGCGUGGGGAGCAAACAGG
rnacentral:rRNA from 1 species